rnacentral:rRNA from 1 species
AUUGAACGCUGGCGGCAUGCUUUACACAUGCAAGUCGAACGGCAGCGCGGGCUUCGGCCUGGCGGCGAGUGGCGAACGGGUGAGUAAUGCAUCGGAACGUGCCCAGUAGUGGGGGAUAGCCCGGCGAAAGCCGGAUUAAUACCGCAUACGACCUGAGGGUGAAAGCGGGGGACCGAAAGGCCUCGCGCUAUUGGAGCGGCCGAUGUCGGAUUAGCUAGUUGGUGGGGUAAAGGCUUACCAAGGCGACGAUCCGUAGCUGGUCUGAGAGGACGACCAGCCACACUGGGACUGAGACACGGCCCAGACGCCUACGGGAGGCAGCAGUGGGGAAUUUUGGACAAUGGGGGCAACCCUGAUCCAGCCAUGCCGCGUGCGGGAAGAAGGCCUUCGGGUUGUAAACCGCUUUUGUUCGGGAAGAAAUCCUCUGGGCUAAUACCCCGGGGGGAUGACGGUACCGGAAGAAUAAGCACCGGCUAACUACGUG